GGAAGGAAACACAGGGAAAAUAUACAUUUCAAUACUUUCUCGCGCAGUUAUAACGUUGGGUAAUUAUACUGUAAAUAAGAUGCAGGCAUCAGGGAGCUGCUAUUAAUAUGCGGGGCAUUGAAACUGCUUUGGAAUGCACAGUCACUUUUUAGUUUCACUUUCACUUUGGAGAUUCGCUAUGCACGAACUCUGUUUAUAUUAUGGAGCAGCAGUACUUACCACACAUUUUACAAGAUCAGAUGCUUGUCAGUGGUGCUCAGGAUCUGUAAAUCAUUCAACAUCAUCCUCAGUCAUCUCUCUCUGUUUAUGUGUGUAGCUGCAAGAUCUGCUCCAUAAGCUCCUAAAAAUAUUAUCUUCCAUUAUCCAUCUCAGAAGGAUUACUAUCCAAGGAGUUCCGUAUAAUAGCUAUUCCCUUUCAUCUCAGCUGGCAUAGAAGCUCCUACAAAAUAAUGGUUGCAGGGGGAGAAAGUUACAGAGCAAGAUCCAAUUAUAAAGGGGCGGUGAAGAACCCCAGACAUGACACGCAGCAAACAGCAGAUAGGGAGGAGGAGCAGGAAACUCAAGCAGGUGUUGAGAUUCCUCUUUGACUGAGGGCGAACAGAUUGCCUCCAUCCUGCCAGUGCUCAUCUGCAUGGUAAUAUCAGCUGCCCCCUGCUAACCAGACAAAAUGAUAAGACCUUCUGCCACAAGCGGACAGUGGCUGUGCCGGAGGGCUGAGGAGGAGAUGAUGCGACUCAGGGAGAUUUCUCCCUGGUUGCUCUCUGCAGGCUGCGUGAAGGGGAAGGUAACCAGCAGGUGGGCCGAGGCUUGAAGGAAUUUUCCAGCACAUGAAGGAAAUAGAACAAAAUAGUUUCUGUGUCACAGUGAGCAAAUAGCACCCUCAAUCAGAAAGCACAUGACCUGUCACACACACUGAACUUGAACAUACACAGCCACGCACACACUCCCAAUGCAUCUGUACUUAUGAUAUAAAACCCCUUCUUAGCCCUGCAGCUGAUGCUAUAGUGAUGCAGUGAUACUUGUGACAUUUCAUGCCCAGCAAUACCCCUUUCCAUAAGCAUAGGAUAGAUAGAUAGAUAGAUAGAUCUAUCUAUCUAUAGAUCUAUGCGUAUAAAUAGUACGCCAAAUAAAAACGAAAACUCAUGGUGUUGAUACGCAAAAAUGGACUUUGGCGUAUAUAUGAUUCAAACGUGUUUGACGUGCAAGCUGUGCAUACAAAACGCAGUUUUCGUGUGCAUAUGAUACCAAAUUUGUUGGUGUGCACAUGAUACUUAGUUUUCGCGUAGAUAUGAUACGCAUCUACCCCACAACCGUUCAUUUUUAUUUGGUGUACUAUUUAUAUGCACUUUCAUGAGAUUGGGUUGGUUAUAACAUUAUUCGAUGUUAUUACUUACUCACACUAAUGGCUUCCCAGUUCUCUGUGGUGUUUUCCCCUGUUUUCUAGAUUGCUCUUUGGAAAUCAGUAUGACAUUUAAAAAAAAAAAAAAAAAAAAAACUGUUUGAAGACUCAUCAAAAAUUAGCAUAUAGUUUUGGAAUAACAUGAGGGUGGAAAAAAUGACAGGGAAAACCUUUAAAUCCAGGAGCAAUGUAUCUACAGGAUAAGAAUCUCUAACACGUAAAUAAAGAAAAACUCAUCUCAGGCUGUGUACUUUUUUUGUUCUAUUCAUACUGCAUAAAAUUACAGCUAGUUACACUCCAUCAGAGUCAUUAGCAUCCUCUCCCUGUCUUUCUAAAAACAGAAUAUUGUACUGUGCAGACGCAUAGCAUGAUUACAAGAGAGGCAGUCUCAAGAGAACAGAAGCUCAAAUCAGCAGUGUGAAAGUGUCCCUCAGGGCCUACAGCAAAGGUGUUUCAUUCCCUCUGUUGAUGUGACAAGAUAUAGCACAAAAGAGUGCAGGUCAUGCGUGUGUGAGCACAAGCACAGGGGUGUUGCGUAGGGGAUGUCUCACAUCUGUUUUUGGAUGAAGGGGGGAAAAGAGAGAGUGUUUUAAUUAUCAUAUUAGUCAUUAAAAAAGAGACAUUGCCUUGAGGGAAAUCAAACAGUUACUGAUUCUUUCCCUUCUAGUGAAGGCGGCCAUACACAACUUUUUUCUGUCCACUAGGUCUGUCUGAUAUGUCUUUUGCAUCAAUUACCGUAGUUUGGUUCUGACAGAUGACAGAUUCCCAGCAGAAGACACCUGGGAUUAUGGGAAAAAUGUUUAUCAGUAUGUUUGCAUUCUGUAGAGAGCUGAUAAUUAAAUGAGAAUAGUGUUUUCACCAUUACAUGAAAAGGUGACAUAUUAACCCUUGUACUGUGCUGAAAAUCCUUUACUUAAUCUGGUAAUAGUGGUCAGAAAUGGCUUGCUUGUAAAACUAUUGUUAUGCUAUAUCAUCAGCAAAUCUUGGAUUCAACUUUUUAUCAACUUGUUUUCUUUCAA